rnacentral:rRNA from 1 species
AGCGAACGCUGGCGGCAGGCCUAACACAUGCAAGUCGAACGGAUCCUUCGGGAUUAGUGGCGGACGGGUGAGUAACACGUGGGAACGUGCCCUUUGGUUCGGAACAACUCAGGGAGACUUGAGCUAAUAUCGGAUGUGCCCUUCGGGGGAAAGAUUUAUCGCCAUUGGAGCGGCCCGCGUCUGAUUAGCUAGUUGGUGAGGUAACGGCCCACCAAGGCGACGAUCAGUAGCUGGUCUGAGAGGAUGAUCAGCCACACUGGGACUGAGACACGGCCCAGACUCCUACGGGAGGCAGCAGUGGGGAAUCUUGCGCAAUGGGCGAAAGCCUGACGCAGCCAUGCCGCGUGAAUGAUGAAGGUCUUAGGAUUGUAAAAUUCUUUCAGCGGGGACGAUAAUGACGGUACCCGCAGAAGAAGCUCCGGCUAACUUCGUG